AGUAUGCUUAGAUGAGCAUCAUGUCACACUAAGAAUUGAAUAGAAACUAGAAAUACGUCAUUUUUAUUUUUAUUUUAACUAUUAUUCGGCUCUAAUCGGGUUAAUGUCAUAGAAGCUGGUUGGCAGGUUCCUAAAUUAAGGCGAUUUUAUCUGCUGUAUUUACACUGUGUUUUUUCUCACUCUGCAUAAGAGGGCGCUAUACAUCUAUAUACAGUAAAUGCCGUAAUCUGCAAAAACCCACCCUACCCUUCAACUUUCCCCCUGCAUGACCUCACACCUCAAAUCCGCCGCAAGCGACAAGACAAAAACACAGCGCUGCCAUUAUAAUCAACGAGAACGUUUCCAGCGCUGUGCGCUUGCAGAGUAGAUGUGUUGUGAGGAAACACGCUGCUCUGUCCGCUGCCUGACGUCACCCUGGCGCGCGCUUCCAUAGAUGCGAGCGCGAGAGUACAGUGACAGCGCCUCGUCCACUGUACGCAACACUGAGCGCGGCUCAGCACUAUCUCAGGCUACACGCGAGAAACGGCAGCAGAUCAUGGGAUGUGACUAGGCAACAUCCCGCUUUAUUUGAGGCCGGUCGUCCGCUCUGCACUCACGGGGUGCAGUACUUUAAACUCACCGUUCCCAUUAUUUGAAUCAAGUGAUCACUGCCCUCCUGUCAUCCCAGAAUAACGUUGGAAGCUUUAACAUUUGUAUUAAUUAUUCUUCGAGUUUCUAUCCCACUCUACCGGUUCGACUCUGACUUCAAGCUGAGGCUCAAUAACUGGAUUUUAUCGGUGGAACAAAAGGCGACUGCUGCUGCCUGGAUAUUAAAUUUUACUCUUGGAUUAUUGUCUCAGCAUCAUGAGCACGAGUGCAUCAUGACUGUACUGUCCUCAACACUGACAAAAGACUGUGGGCUCAGAGCAUCUCGCAGAGCUGAGGGCCACACACAGAAUUCAGAAAACAGCUCUGGAAGUCGGCCAGGCAGUGCGUCGCUCUGCCAAAGGAAUAAGUGCUUACAAUAUUAUCAGUGUGAGAUUGAGCCACUGGAGGAGGCAUAACAGCAUUAAUGGAUCAUUGUUCUUCAGCUGUGGAUGAAGAAAAGUCAAUGAAACUCUCUAUUCCAAUAGAAUGACAAUAUGCG
rnacentral:lncRNA from 1 species